UCUGUUGAAUGGCAUUUGUUAUUACCUACCUGCCAGGAAAAUCCAUGACCAUUUGUAUUGCUUCUUUCUGUCUUAUUCUCCAAGCAUACAUUUGCCUGUUAACUAACUUCGCAUGCGCUGACUUGUUAACGCCCAGCAAGUAUUUCCCUGAGAGCUUCCAAUAGAAUACUUCCCUUGAGGCGGUCUUGUGCCUCUGACUGC
rnacentral:lncRNA from 1 species